GCCUUUGUGGCUAUGGUAGUGGUCCUCAAUCUGUAGGGGAACAGGUUCGCAUAAGACGAACGAGGGGCGAGGGGUUCGAUUCCCCUCGAAGGCA